rnacentral:rRNA from 1 species
GACGUAGGGGGCGAGCGUUGUCCGGAUUUACUGGGCGUAAAGCGCGCGCAGGCGGCCCCGUUAAGUCGGAUGUGAAAACCUGGGGCUCAACCCCCAGGCCUGCACCCGAUACUGGCGGGCUCGAGGCAGGUAGGGGAGAGUGGAAUUCCCGGUGUAGCGGUGAAAUGCGCAGAUAUCGGGAGGAACACCGGUGGCGAAGGCGGCUCUCUGGGCCUGUCCUGACGCUCAUGCGCGAAAGCUAGGGGAGCAAACAGGG